CCAGACUCCUACGGGAGGCAGCAGUGGGGAAUAUUGCACAAUGGGGGAAACCCUGAUGCAGCGACGCCGCGUGAGUGAAGAAGUCAUUCGGGGUGUAAAGCCCUGUCAGCAGGGAAGAAAAUGACGGUACCUGAGGAAGAAGCCCCGGCUAACUACGUGACAGCAGCCGCGGUAAUACGUAGGGGGCAAGCGUUAUCCGGAUUUACUGGGUGUAAAGGGGGCGUAGACGGCCAGGCAAGUCUGGAGUGAAAAUCCAGGGCUUAACGUCGGAAGUGCCUUUGAAACUGCCGGGCUAGAGUGCAGGAGGGGCAGGCGGAAUGCCUGGUGUAGCGGUGAAAUGCGUAGAUAUCAGGAGGAACACCGGUGGCGAAGGCGGCCUGCUGGACUGCAACUGACGUUGAGGCUCGAAGGCGUGGGGAGCAAACAGGAUUAGAUACCCUGGUA
rnacentral:rRNA from 1 species